rnacentral:rRNA from 1 species
UGACGAACGCUGGCGGCGUGCUUAACACAUGCAAGUCGAACGGAAAGGCCCUGCUUUUGUGGGGUGCUCGAGUGGCGAACGGGUGAGUAACACGUGAGUAACCUGCCCUUGACUUUGGGAUAACUUCAGGAAACUGGGGCUAAUACCGGAUAGGAGCUCCUGCUGCAUGGUGGGGGUUGGAAAGUUUCGGCGGUUGGGGAUGGACUCGCGGCUUAUCAGCUUGUUGGUGGGGUAGUGGCUUACCAAGGCUUUGACGGGUAGCCGGCCUGAGAGGGUGACCGGCCACAUUGGGACUGAGAUACGGCCCAGACUCCUACGGGAGGCAGCAGUGGGGAAUAUUGCACAAUGGGCGGAAGCCUGAUGCAGCAACGCCGCGUGCGGGAUGACGGCCUUCGGGUUGUAAACCGCUUUCGCCUGUGACGAAGCGUGAGUGACGGUAAUGGGUAAAGAAGCACCGGCUAACUACGUGCCAGCAGCCGCGGUGAUACGUAGGGUGCGAGCGUUGUCCGGAUUUAUUGGGCGUAAAGGGCUCGUAGGUGGUUGAUCGCGUCGGAAGUGUAAUCUUGGGGCUUAACCCUGAGCGUGCUUUCGAUACGGGUUGACUUGAGGAAGGUAGGGGAGAAUGGAAUUCCUGGUGGAGCGGUGGAAUGCGCAGAUAUCAGGAGGAACACCAGUGGCGAAGGCGGUUCUCUGGGCCUUUCCUGACACUGAGGAGCGAAAGCGUGGGGAGCGAACAGGCUUAGAUACCCUGGUAGUCCACGCUGUAAACGGUGGGUACUAGGUGUGGGGUCCAUUCCACGGGUUCCGUGCCGUAGCUAACGCUUUAAGUACCCCGCCUGGGGAGUACGGCCGCAAGGCUAAAACUCAAAGGAAUUGACGGGGCCCCGCACAAGCGGCGGAGCAUGCGGAUUAAUUCGAUGCAACGCGUAGAACCUUACCUGGGUUUGACAUGGAUCGGGAGUGCUCAGAGAUGGGUGUGCCUCUUUUGGGGUCGGUUCACAGGUGGUGCAUGGCUGUCGUCAGCUCGUGUCGUGAGAUGUUGGGUUAAGUCCCGCAACGAGCGCAACCCUUGUUCACUGUUGCCAGCACGUUAUGGUGGGGACUCAGUGGAGACCGCCGGGGUCAACUCGGAGGAAGGUGGGGAUGACGUCAAGUCAUCAUGCCCCUUAUGUCCAGGGCUUCACGCAUGCUACAAUGGCUGGUACAGAGAGUGGCGAGCCUGUGAGGGUGAGCGAAUCUCGGAAAGCCGGUCUCAGUUCGGAUUGGGGUCUGCAACUCGACCUCAUGAAGUCGGAGUCGCUAGUAAUCGCAGAUCAGCAACGCUGCGGUGAAUACGUUCCCGGGGCUUGUACACACCGCCCGUCAAGUCAUGAAAGUUGGUAACACCCGAAGCCGGUGGCCUAACCGUUGUGGGGGAGCCGUCGAAGGUGGG